rnacentral:rRNA from 1 species
GACGAACGCUGGCGGCGUGCUUAACACAUGCAAGUCGAACGGUAAGGCCCUUCGGGGUACACGAGUGGCGAACGGGUGAGUAACACGUGGGUGAUAUGCCCUGCACUUCGGGAUAAGCCUGGGAAACUGGGUCUAAUACCGGAUAGGACUCCUGGCUUCAUGGUUGGGGGUGAAAGCUUUUGCGGUGUGGGAUGGGCCCGCGGCCUAUCAGCUUGUUGGUGGGGUAAUGGCCUACCAAGGCGACGACGGGUAGCCGGCCUGAGAGGGUGACCGGUCACACUGGGACUGAGAUACGGCCCAGACUCCUACGGGAGGCAGCAGUGGGGAAUAUUGCACAAUGGGCGCAAGCCUGAUGCAGCGACGCCGCGUGAGGGAUGACGGCCUUCGGGUUGUAAACCUCUUUCAGCUAUGACGAAGCGCAAGUGACGGUAGUAGCAGAAGAAGGACCGGCCAACUACGUGCCAGCCGCCGCGGUAA